rnacentral:rRNA from 1 species
GAUGAACGCUAGCUACAGGCUUAACACAUGCAAGUCGAGGGGUAGCAGGGUAGCAAUACCGCUGACGACCGGCGCACGGUGAGUAACACGUAUCCAACCUUCCCAUAACUCGGGGAUAGCCUUUCGAAAGAAAGAUUAAUACCCGAUAGUACUUUUUCAAGGCAUCUUGAGAAAGUUAAAGAUUUAUUGGUUAUGGAUGGGGAUGCGUUCCAUUAGAUAGUUGGUGAGGUAACGGCUCACCAAGUCUUCGAUGGAUAGGGGUUCUGAGAGGAAGGUCCCCCACAUUGGUACUGAGACACGGACCAAACUCCUACGGGAGGCAGCAGUGAGGAAUAUUGGUCAAUGGGCGAGAGCCUGAACCAGCCAAGUAGCGUGAAGGAUGAAGGUCCUAUGGAUUGUAAACUUCUUUUAUAGUAGAAUAAAGUGAUCCACGUGUGGAUUUUUGUAUGUAUACUAUGAAUAAGGAUCGGCUAACUCCGUG